GACGAACGCUGGCGGCGCGCCUAACACAUGCAAGUCGAACGAGCGAGAGAGAGCUUACUUUCUCGAGCGAGUGGCGAACGGGUGAGUAACGCGUGAGGAACCUGCCUCAAAGAGGGGGACAACAGUUGGAAACGACUGCUAAUACCGCAUAAGCCCACGGCUCGGCAUCGAGCAGAGGGAAAAGGAGCAAUCCGCUUUGAGAUGGCCUCGCGUCCGAUUAGCUAGUUGGUGAGGUAACGGCCCACCAAGGCGACGAUCGGUAGCCGGACUGAGAGGUUGAACGGCCACAUUGGGACUGAGACACGGCCCAGACUCCUACGGGAGGCAGCAGUGGGGAAUAUUGCACAAUGGGGGAAACUCUGAUGCAGCGACGCCGCGUGGAGGAAGAAGGUCUUCGGAUUGUAAACUCCUGUUGUUGAGGAAGAUUAUGACGGUACUCAACAAGGAAGUGACGGCCUACUACGUGCCAGCAGCCGCGGUAAAACGUAGGUCACAAGCGUUGUUCCGAAUUACUGGGUGUAAAGGGAGCGCAGGCGGGAAGACAAGUUGGAAGUGAAAUCCAUGGGCUCAACCCAUGAACUGCUUUCAAAACUGUUUUUCUUGAGUAGUGCAGAGGUAGGCGGAAUUCCCGGUGUAGCGGUGGAAUGCGUAGAUAUCGGGAGGAACACCAGUGGCGAAGGCGGCCUACUGGGCACCAACUGACGCUGAGGCUCGAAAGUGUGGGUAGCAAACAGGAUUAGAUACCCUGGUAGUCCACACUGUAAACGAUGAUUACUAGGUGUUGGAGGAUUGACCCCUUCAGUGCCGCAGUUAACACAAUAAGUAAUCCACCUGGGGAGUACGACCGCAAGGUUGAAACUCAAAGGAAUUGACGGGGGCCCGCACAAGCAGUGGAGUAUGUGGUUUAAUUCGACGCAACGCGAAGAACCUUACCAAGUCUUGACAUCCUGCGACGCACAUAGAAAUAUGUGUUUCCUUCGGGACGCAGAGACAGGUGGUGCAUGGUUGUCGUCAGCUCGUGUCGUGAGAUGUUGGGUUAAGUCCCGCAACGAGCGCAACCCUUAUGGUCAGUUACUACGCAAGAGGACUCUGGCCAGACUGCCGUUGACAAAACGGAGGAAGGUGGGGAUGACGUCAAAUCAUCAUGCCCUUUAUGACUUGGGCUACACACGUACUACAAUGGCGUUAAACAAAGAGAAGCAAGACCGCGAGGUGGAGCAAAACUCAGAAACAACGUCCCAGUUCGGACUGCAGGCUGCAACUCGCCUGCACGAAGUCGGAAUUGCUAGUAAUCGCAGAUCAGCAUGCUGCGGUGAAUACGUUCCCGGGCCU
rnacentral:rRNA from 1 species